rnacentral:rRNA from 1 species
UACGUAGGGCGCAAGCGUUGUCCGGAAUUAUUGGGCGUAAAGAGCUCGUAGGCGGCCUGUUACGUCUGCUGUGAAAUCCCGGGGCUUAACCCCGGGCGUGCAGUGGAUACGGGCAGGCUGGAGGCAGGCAGGGGAGAACGGAAUUCCCGGUGUAGCGGUGAAAUGCGCAGAUAUCGGGAGGAACACCGGUGGCGAAGGCGGUUCUCUGGGCCUGUACUGACGCUGAGGAGCGAAAGCGUGGGGAGCGAACAGGAU